UAGUAUUGUUCCAUUGAUUCCUUUUCAGGAUAUAUCUGCUUUUUCACUUGGUUCUUUUGUUUUCUGCCUAAAUCGGGUGUAUUCGCGCUUGAGACCAAUCAAUACAGGUAGCAACAAUGGUAUCAGCAGGGGAGCAAACGUCGCCACGAAAUGCUCUAUCGGAAAAUUCAAAGGGACCAAUAGCUGUUCUUCUUU
rnacentral:ribozyme from 1 species